rnacentral:piRNA from 1 species
UGUCAGGUGUUUUCCUCGGUUAUACUUCUAG